rnacentral:rRNA from 1 species
CUUGCACCUGAUGGCGAGUGGCGAACGGGUGAGUAAUGCAUCGGAACGUACCCGGAAGUGGGGGAUAACGUAGCGAAGUUACGCUAAUACCGCAUAUUCUGUGAGCAGGAAAGCGGGGGAUCGCAAGACCUCGCGCUUCCGGAGCGGCCGAUGUCGGAUUAGCUAGUUGGCGGGGUAAAAGGCCCACCAAGGCAACGAUCCGUAGCGGGUCUGAGAGGAUGAUCCGCCACACUGGGACUGAGACACGGCCCAGACUCCUACGGGAGGCAGCAGUGGGGAAUUUUGGACAAUGGGGGCAACCCUGAUCCAGCCAUGCCGCGUGAGUGAAGAAGGCCUUCGGGUUGUAAAGCUCUUUCGGCUGGGAAGAAAUCGCAUCUCCUAAUACGGGGUGUGGAUGACGGUACCAGCAUAAGAAGCACCGGCUAACUACGUGCCAGCAGCCGCGGUAAUACGUAGGGGUGCGAGCGUUAAUCGGAAUUACUGGGCGUAAAGCGUGCGCAGGCGGUUUCGUAAGACAGAGGUGAAAUCCCCGG